CAGGUGUAGUUCAACGGCAGAACUUUAGCCUUCCAAGCUAAUAACGUGGGUUCGAUUCCCAUCACCUG
rnacentral:tRNA from 1 species